rnacentral:rRNA from 1 species
AGCGAACGCUGGCGGCAGGCCUAACACAUGCAAGUCGAACGAACCUUUCGGGGUUAGUGGCGGACGGGUGAGUAACACGUGGGAACGUGCCUUUAGGUUCGGAAUAACUCAGGGAAACUUGUGCUAAUACCGUAUGUGCCCUUCGGGGGAAAGAUUUAUCGCCUUUAGAGCGGCCCGCGUCUGAUUAGCUAGUUGGUUGAGGUAAUGGCUCACCAAGGCGACGAUCAGUAGCUGGUCUGAGAGGAUGAUCAGCCACAUUGGGACUGAGACACGGCCCAAACUCCUACGGGAGGCAGCAGUGGGGAAUCUUGCGCAAUGGGCGAAAGCCUGACGCAGCCAUGCCGCGUGAAUGAUGAAGGUCUUAGGAUUGUAAAAUUCUUUCACCGGGGACGAUAAUGACGGUACCCGGAGAAGAAGCCCCGGCUAACUUCGUG